rnacentral:lncRNA from 1 species
GGAAAGAGCCUUGAAACAAUUUUGAUUGUAAAAGACGCUAUAUAAAUAAAGAUUAAUUUGAUUUUGAUUUGAUUCUAACAGAGCUGAGUAGAGGCGUGAUCCAAGGACAGAGCAGCCCAAGAAGUAAAACAAACUGUCCAUGCCUGAGUCACUGGAGACUGCUAAGCAAAGGCUCACAGCCCUGGCUACCCGACUAAAGAGGAACUCACUCCUCAGACUGCCUUUGCUGUCAGCAAUGUUGAUUAGCUCUUCCACCAUAUUACCAUCUUCAUCCUCCUCUUCCUCAUAAAUCUCCAGUGAUGUCAGUGCCUCUCCAUCCCUCUGUUCUUUGCCCCCAACCUCCAGGUAUACUUUAGCAGUCUGGCUUACUUCAGCGCCAGAUCUUGGCCCUCUUCCUCCAUUUUCCCUGGCUCCUGUGCCCUCUGUUUUGAGUUUGACAGGCUGCACCAUCAGAAUACCCUCAUCCAAAAUGGGGGUCCCAUCAAUGCUGAGCUCGUCGCCAGCAGCUCGGCUGGCUUGUUCCAUGCUCAGGGGGUGAGUGCUGGGAUGUAGGCUGAUGGUGGACUUGCUUGUGCAAAGACCCAUGAAUAAUGGUUGGAAUUAAAAUUCAAAUUCAGUGACUUCUGACUAAUUUACAGUCUUAAAGUGGAUUUCAAGGAUAUGUCUUCCUUCCGGUGCUUGAUUCUUGGGUGAAAAAUCCUUAAAAAAUCCCAUAAACUGUUUCUCCAGGUAAAAACAAAUAAUUUUCUACUCGUGGAAUUUUCUUGAAGAUUUUCCAAAAUAAAACAGAUGUCUUGGUUAAUCUCGGAAUCCGUCAGUGAAUCAUUUCAGCCCUGAUUCUCACAGCUAGUAGAGAUGCUCCCAUCCUCACUGUCUGAGUAAAUUUGCUUAUUGAAAUAGAAGUAAUCCUUCCCAUCUACCGUCAGAAUCAAUGUGUGCAGGAUCUUAGCAGAAGGAAGAGAAGGGGGCUUUUCACCCCCUACUGCUCUUAAAGAGCCAAACCCACCUGCUAUAUCUUUCCAUCCCUGGGCCAUUUGAAAAUGUGGGUGGGGAGCAGGGAGGAAUAAUCUCAGCUCUUCUACAUCAAGAGCUCCUAAAGUGCUCUUUAGCAAGCAGUUGAGUCAUUUGAGUCAUAAAACGGGCAAAAUUAAAACACUGUAUUUAAGCAAGACCAAGAGAAGUAAAUCUAUUAAGUCUUAAUAUGUGCUCAGUUAACCAAAUGUGGAAAGCAACUUUCAUUUCUUGCUUGUAAACUUAAACCAUCAGUUGCUUUGACAUUUGGUUUUAGCAGCCUGCUUUGUUCACUCCAGUGAGUGUCCUUGACUCAUCACAGCUCUUAGAAACGUCUAUAAAACAUCUGUUUGUGUCAGAUGUGAAAAGUCAAAAGCCCAUGUUAAAUGUUAAUGCAUCAUAAUGCAUCAUAUCGAUGCAGCUA